rnacentral:misc_RNA from 1 species
GCCUUUUUCAGAAAAUGGUUUUCCCUUUUCUCUGUUGUCUUUUGCUUGUCGGUCAUUUUUGUGUGUGUGUGUGUGUGUGUGUGUCUUUUAUAUAAGCGUGCUCUCCUCUGACUCUUGGGCGCUCGUGCCUCUCUGUGUGCCUUUCUUUCUUGUUGCUCGUGAGACUCGUUGCGCCCCUCUCGCUCGCGCUCUGUGCAAUGCGGAGGCGUGUAUGUGCGUCGCCCCUUCGCUUUGCCAAGAAAGCGCCCAUCAGGGUGAUAUCGCUGCUACGCUAGUUGCGCGCACUGAUUUUAUGGGCGGUGAUGGGCAGGAGGCGCCGUGUCUGUUGCUCUCGAAGCCUUCUCCUCGCCUCCUACAUGGCGAACAAAAGUGUCCAGAGUCUGAGAAAGGCCGAAGAAAGCGUCGAUGAACGCUUGUGGGUGGUGCUGAUUGGUGGUGAGGUGAGCCAUGAUUGGUGGGGGAGGGGGCUGAGGUUGGGUGAGCCCACGGUCAGCGCCGUGCCGUUGCCACCCGCCCCUCUACCUGCCAUGCCGAUACGUUUUGUCUUGUGUGUCUGCUGCAGGACACCGACUCCUCGCUUCCUUAUUUUUUAAGCCGUGCUCCAUGUGCGUGUGUGUGUGUGUUGCUGGGGAGUUUCUGCGAGUGUGAUUACUGGCCCCUCUGAUUUCUAUCUCUUUCUUUACUUCGCUGUGUACGAGAACAGACGGCCACAACAUGGGCGAACGUCACGUGUCUGCGAGGGAAAGGGGCAUCAUGAACCGCUGCCAGCCAUUGGAGACGGAGGAGCCGAGAAGGAGAGUGCACGCGAGAGGAUAGAGGCUACCCGCUCUGAUGGGCACAGCCGCACUCUAACAUACACCCUUGUUGCAGCUCUCGUGACGAAGAAGGUAGCAACACAGGGACUGGCACGCCCAAACUGCACACAUCGCU